rnacentral:rRNA from 1 species
GACGAACGCUGGCGGCGCGCUUAACACAUGCAAGUCGAGCGAAGCGGCGGACGGGUGAGACACACGUGAGUAACCUGCCUUAGACAUUGGGAUAGCGUCGGCAAACAGGGAUUAAUACCAAAUGGUCUAAGAUGGACUCGCCGCCCAUUAGCGGGUUGGUGAGGUAACGGCCCCCCAAGGCGACGAUGGGUAGCCGGCCUGGGAGGGUGAGCGGCCACAUUGGAACUGUGAAGCGGUCCAAACUCUACGGGAGGGAGCAGUGGGGAAUAUUGCACAAUGGAGGGAACGCUGAUGCAGCGACGCCGCGUGAACGAAGAAGGCUUUCGAGUCGUAAAGUUCUUUUAUAUGGGAAGCGGUACCAUAAGAAAAAGCCCCGGCUAACUACGUGCCAGCAGCCGCGGUAAUUC